UACGGGGGGAGCAAGCGUUGUUCGGAUUUACUGGGCGUAAAGGGCGCGUAGGCGGCCUUCUAAGUCGAACGUGAAAUCCCUGGGCUCAACCCAGGAACUGCGUCCGAUACUGGAAGGCUUGAAUCCGGGAGAGGGAUGCGGAAUUCCAGGUGUAGCGGUGAAAUGCGUAGAUAUCUGGAGGAACACCGGUGGCGAAGGCGCAUCCUGGACCGGCAUUGACGCUGAGGGCG
rnacentral:rRNA from 1 species